GAUCCUGGCUCAGGAUGAACGCUGGCGGCGUGCUUAACACAUGCAAGUCGAACGGAGGUAUUGAAAGCUUGCUUUAGAUAUCUAGUGGCGGACGGGUGAGUAACGCGUGGGUAACCUACCCUGUACAGGGGGAUAGCAGUUGGAAACGACUGAUAAAACCGCAUAAAACGGCAGUACCGCAUGGUACAACCGUCAAAUAUUCAUAGGUACAGGAUGGGCCCGCGUCUGAUUAGCUAGUUGGUGGGGCAACGGCCUACCAAGGCGACGAUCGGUAGCCGGCCUGAGAGGGUGAACGGCCACAUUGGGACUGAGACACGGCCCAAACUCCUACGGGAGGCAGCAGUGGGGAAUAUUGGACAAUGGGGGAAACCCUGAUCCAGCGACGCCGCGUGAGUGAAGAAGUAUUUCGGUAUGUAAAGCUCUAUCAGCAGGGAAGAUGAUGACGGUACCUGACUAAGAAGCACCGGCUAAAUACGUGCCAGCAGCUGC
rnacentral:rRNA from 1 species